CCAACAACCAAACAAAAUGGCGGCGGCUGAGCUCCUCGCGCUGGGCUCUUAAAGGAGCCGCGUUGCCUCGGGCCUGGCGGUCGGUAGAGGCGGAGAUCGUUCGAGGGAGGAAGGGGGAUGGUACAGGUGGGCCGCUGAGAGCCGGGGCCUUCGCACGGGGCCGCCAGGAGGCCACCCCGCCCGGCGAGCGGGAAGCAGCGAAGCGGCGUUACCAUGUCAACCCAGAGAUUGGUCAUAUGAUAUUCUAUAUUUUUGGCAAUGAAGAAAGGCUACAUAAAAAAAGAAUUAUGUGGAAAAACUCAGAUGUCAGCUUUUCGGACACCUAGUCCAAUGUCUUCUGUUGGUUCAAGCAUCGGAUCGCCAUCUCCCCUUAGCCAAAAGCCAUCUUCAUCUGCUUGCAAAAAUCAACAGCUUGAUACUACAGCAAAUGUAGAAGCUGCUUUUGAAUCUAAGUUUCAUGAAGAUGAAAAUGGUGUUAGUCCAGGUGUUAGGUACAUUACAGAACCCCUUAUAAAAAGUCUGUCAAAACAGGAAAAUUUGGCAUAUAUAAGCUCAUUGAAUCUUUCUUCACCAAAGGAUGGGGACAAGAAAUUCAGGUACAUAGAAAAUUUGGAAAAAUGUUCUAAACUAGAGAGACUGAAUCUAAGUAACAAUCAAAUAGAGAAGAUUGAAAAGCUGGAUAAACUGUUGAAGUUGCGUGAACUCAAUUUGUCUUGCAACAAGAUCAGUAAGAUUGAAGGCAUGGAACACCUACAUAACCUACAAAAGAUGAACCUUGCGGGGAAUGAGAUUGAGCAUAUUCCUGUGUGGGUAGGGAAGAAACUGAGAUCCCUGCGCAUCCUUAAUUUGAAACAGAACAAAGUGUCAUCACUUCACGAAAUAGCUAAACUAAAGCCUCUGCAAGAUCUGACUUCUCUGUUCCUUGCUGGUAAUCCAGUUGCAAGCCUGCCUCACUACCGCUUGUACACGAUAUUCCACUUGCGAGCACUGGAAAAUUUGGAUGGACAGCCAGUGACAAAUCAUGACAGACAGGAAGCUCUAAAGAGGUUUGAUUUAGAAGAGAUAGAAAAAUUAGAAAGAGAGUUAGAGAACGUGAUAAAGGAGAUGGAGAACCUUAAACUUAACCAGUCCAAAGUGCUUGAACAACUUCACCAUCAAGAUGAGGUCAACAAAUCAUUAAAAGAAAAGACUUUGCAGCAGAAGCGAAACUGUGAAGAUCUACAAAGGGAAGUGGAUACCAAAAACGAAUUGCUGAGGCAGAAAACAAUGGAGCUGACCCGAGCUUGCCAGAAGCAGUAUGAAUUGGAGCAGGAGCUGGCCUUUUAUAAGAUUGAUGCAAAAUUUGAGCCAUUAAGUUAUUUUCCACCAGAGGAUGUUGAGCUAGAUGAUGUACCUGGUGAAAGCCCGUACAUUGGGAAGGCCAGGUACAAAAGAAAUAUGUUUAUAAGAGAAGGCUACAUUGCUAGUAAAGCUCAGCAAAUGGAGACUGGAAAAAUACAACCAGAUGACAAUGAUUUGUAUAGGAAAUCACAGCUGAAACCUCAGUUUCAAACUCUAGAUGGGCAAUUGGAGAGUAAAGAAAAAAAGAUUCAUUCAGCACAAAGGAGAUUAGAAGAGCUGCAAAAUGCAAUAGGCAAGGCAGAGCAACAAGUUUUGGAAGUAACAGGGGAACUGCAACAACUGGAGGAUGCUCUGGCUCAGAAAAAAAUCUCACAGGCCAACAGGGAGGAUCUCGAGCAGCAGCUGAGUAAGAAGAUACAAAUACUGCAUCAGCUACAAGAGGAAGCUUUAGCACUGGAAAAACAAAUGGAGAAACAGAAAAGAGAAAUAGGGAAAAAGCAGAAAGAGCUUGAAGACUUGAAGAGUUCUCUUGCUUCUGUAAAUGCUAAAGAUCCAAGACACGCUCACAUGAAGGCUCAAAAAGCAAGUAAAGAACAGCAGAUUGAGGUAAUGAACAAACAGUACAAACAGCUCGAGAGUCGCCUGGAUGAAAUGCUUUCUAGGAUUGCUAAGGAAACUGAGGAAAUCAAGGACUUGGAACAACAGCUCACUGAUGGUCAAAUAGCAACAAACGAAGCACUGAAAAAGGAUUUAGAAAGUAUUAUCCUUGGAUUACAGGAAUACCUGGAAAGCGUUAAGCAUCAAGCAAAACAGGCCAAUGAUGAAUGUAAAGUGUUGCAGAAGGAUAAAGAAUCUUUGCUACAGAGGUUGGCAGAUCUAGAGGAGGAAAGAAACAGCCUGAAAAUAGUUGUCAUGGAUGCUGAAAAUAUGAGAAAAGAAAUAGCAGUGCUAGAAGGUGCACUUCAAGAGCAGCGAGAGAUAAAUGAAUCACUUAAAGAUGCACAAGGGGAUGUCAGUGCCUAUGAGGCUGAACUGGAAGCCCAGCUAAGAGACAGAGACACUGAAGCCAAUCAGCAAAAGGAAGAAUUGGAAAGACUGAAACAACUUAGCCAGAUGGAACUGUCAGCUCUGCGGGCUGAACUUGAGAAAGAAAGGCAAGCAUUAGAGAAUGCUCUGACCAAAGCACAAUUAGCAGAAGAGAAGGAACAAGAAAACUAUAAGCUGCUUUCUCAGUUCAAACAACUGCAGGGAGACAAUAAUCUCCUGAAACAACAGCUUCAGGAUCUUCAGAAUCAGCUAAGCCAUGCAGUUGGUAACCUGAUACACCCUGAGGAAGUUCUAGCUCGUGUAAAUGAACUCAAGCAAAAGCUUCGGACAGGAGCAGGAGAGAUUAAAUGUCGGAAUUCAGCUGAUGUUUUGGGGAAAAGCCUUGCAAAUCUGCAGAAAGAAUUUAAUAACAUCCUGGCUGAUACACAGAGGGAAAAAGAGAAAGCAUGGGAAAGACAGAGACAAUUGCAAGAGGAAAUGGUAUCCCAGCAGGAAAAACUAGAAGAUAUACAGGAAAAAUACAGACAGGUUAAAUCUGAAAACAGGCAGAAUAAGAACAAGGUCCAUCAGUUAGAGAAUGAAAUUCAACAUUUACAUGAAAAAAUGAAGAGUAUGGAAGAAAUUCAGGGCCUGGCUGAUCAACAGCUCCAAGAGGCAGAUGAAGAAAAAGAGGCUAUUCUUGCUCAACUAGAAGACUUAGAGAAAAAGAAAAAAAUAGAAGACGCCAGGGCACAAAUGCAAUUUGCUAGGCUAGAUAAAGAGCUGAAGGAAUUAAAGAGAGCAAUCAUCACUUCAGAUAAACUGGCGGCCGCUGAGCUAUCCAUAGCUAAAAAUCAGCUGCAGGCUCUUCAUGGGACUGUUCUCAAAAUCAAUCAGGAACGAGCUGAGGAAUUUGAGGAAGCUGAAGAGUUCUGUGUUGAGGCAGCUCGUGCAACUCGGGAUCUUGCCCGAGCAGAAGCAGAAAUAGAAUUGUUACAACAGCUUCUAAAACAGAGGGAAGAACAACUUCAACAUGAAAUGGAGAAAGCUGGUGAGAAGACUGCAUCAAGCUCUCAAAAGGUAGAAAUUGAUAAACUAAAUGACACAGUGGAGCAACAGAAAGCAGAAAUUGACCGUUUAAGAUGGUUGUUGGAUAACACUGGGGCAGGUAACAAGGAUGAAAUCGACAACUUACAAGAAGAAAUUGCAGCACUCAGAAAUGCACUCUCAUACCAGAAUGAUUACCUGACCGGUAUAGCAGAUCCACUGACAAGAAGAGGAUACUGGUAUUACAUGCCACCAUCACAGGCCUCAACUCCCGCCUCCCACAGCACAAAGGAUUCUGGAGUUGGUUUACAGUGUCCUGGCACAUCCCCACCCAGAAGAGGGUGUAGUCAGGUCAGGAAGGAAGACUUACCCAGGUCAAGAGGGUGCUGGGUUUAUUCACCAGUCAGAACCAGGUUGUACAAAACCGAUCCUGAUAAAGCUAGAAGAACAAAAGAAGAUGGUGAAGGAAAUGAGGAAGCUCGUGCUCACAAAGACCCACCCUUUGUACCACCACCUGGUGCAGUUAUCUAUACAGUCCUCCCAGAUGGAGCUCCUCUACCCCACGGAACUGUGGCUUAUGGCCCUCCUCCUGCAGCUGCAAACGGAGCUUCAGUUGCUCCUGGAUCUGUUAUCUAUGGCCCGCCUCCUGUGGGAGCCCAGGUUGUUUAUGGCCUUCUUCCUCCGAACUUUACUGUCCCACUCAUUCCUUUUGGAGAGCUUCACUGCAACGUACCCAAACAUCGUGACUUGGAGAGUGAACUCUCAAGGUUAGAAGACACUGUGCAUCAUUUAAAGUCUCGGAAACACAGAGAUAAAUGGUCAGGGGCAGCUGAGCAUAAACGCAAGAAUGAAAUGGAAAAAUUGCAUCAAGACAUAGAAGAUCUUCUGCAUGAAAGAGAAGAGCUGGAACAUGAAGUAGCAGAGCUACAAAGAGCAGCUCAAAAACGUAACAAACGCAAUGACUUUAUUGAAGGGUACACUGAAAACUUAAUGGCAGAACUACAAUUAGAAAAAUCUCUUAAACAUCAUGAAGAUAUUGCAGAUGAAAUUGAAUGUAUAGAGAAGACUCUUCUGAAACGCCGAGCAGAGCUUAGAGAGGCAGACAGGCUUCUCUCAGAAGCUGAAGUGGAACUUGAGAGCACCCGGGGAAAGACUAAAGACACUAUUCAAAAGUACAAUCAUGCCAAACAGCAUUUGUCCCGUACUGAAACUGAGGCAGAGGAGCUAGAGCGAAGGGCUCAGGAAAUGGCCACUAAACUUGUGAAAGCAGAUCAGCAAUUAAGAUCAUUACAGGCAGAUACAAGGGAUUUAGAACAGCAUAAGAAGGAACAAGAAGGUAUUUUGAAGGAAAUCAACAAAAUGGUGUCUGCAAGAGACUCCGAGUUCCAGUCAUUAAACCAGAAAAUAGAAAUGCUGACUGAAAGUCUUCAGAAGCUUCAAGGAGAUAUUCAAGUUGCAGAAGAUAAUGAAGGACAUCACCUCCAAGUCCUCAGAGAAGCAGAAGACAUUCUUCAAGUCAAGAAAACUGAACUGGAAAGACUGAAAAAUCAGGUUACUGCUCAGCAACAAGAGCUGUUGUUUCUGGAGCAGCAGUUAAGUCAAAGAAAAGAGCAGCUCCGUGUCCUUCAGGACUGUAUUGCUCAAAAGAAAGGUGACCUCAAAGAAGCUCUUCGAGACGGGGAGGCUGAAGCAAAGGAAAAACAGCGCCAAAUAAAAGAAAUAAAGCUGCUUCUGGAAGAUCUUAACGCUGAGAGAAGAGAACUGGAUGUCCAAAUUGAUGAGAAAAGGGCACAGCUUUCCUUCAUAAAGAAGGAUAUUGGAAAAGAGGAAGAAAAUCUUCAAAGAAUACUUGGGCAAAUAAACAAGCAUAAGCUAGAACUGAAACACGUUCUGGAAAUGCUGGAGAUUGAAAAUAAUGAACUUCAGGGUUUGAAACUACAACAUGAUCAAAAGGUCAAUGAACUGGAGAAGACUCAGGUUGCAGUUCUAGAAGAGAAGUUAAAAUUGGAGAAUGUUCAGAGAUUAUUUCAGUGUCAGCAAGGGGAAGUAGAUUGGCAGGAACAACUGCUUCAGAAGGACCGUCAGGAAAAUGAACAUCUGGUUUCUCAAAUGCGCGCUCUGCAAAAUAAUAUUGAGUCUCUGAAUAAGGAAAAGCAAAAGCUUGAAGAGGACUGUCAGAGUUUGGAGAAGAAGCUGUCACAAACCAGAAGAGACUUGACUGCUACUGAAGAUAGCAUCGGAACCAUGUUGUCCAACGUAGAAAAAAUGGAACUGGAUAUUAAAAACCUGCAGCAGGAGGUAGAUGUACUGCAUAAACAAAAAAAGUCACUGAAUGGAGAGAUCACUGUUGUACAAAAAGACCUUCAAGAAAAAAAGAAGGAACUAGAGGUGGUGCAAGGAGAAUUAAAUGAGUCCAGGCAGCAGCUUCAGCUGGCGGAACAGAAUUUGAAAGAUAAUACAAAGCACCAGGAAGAGCUGCUUAGAGAGCAGGCAACCCUGAAAGAAGAUAUCUUAAAAUCCUUAAGGAAAUGUAAGGAUUACCAAGAGAGACAGAAGAAGAGAGAGAACCAUUUGCAGCAGCUCCAGAAAGAGAUUGAAGAGAAAGAAACAAUACUGGCCAAACAAGAAGCGGUAAAUAACCGGAUCCUUUAUAACCUCAAGCAAAAUGCAGAACAUGAAGGAAAAAAACUGGAAGAAAAUACUGCUAAACUCAAAGAACAGAAACUGCUUUUGGAAAAGGAACUAAUGGAUCAACAAGAGAAACUGGAACAGGCAGUAGCAAAAGUAAGGCUGACAGAAGAAAACAAGAGGAGGCUGGAAAAAGAAGCAUCUCAAUUUGCAGCGCUCGAAGAAACUAUCAGAAAAAGCAAACAUCAGAUAUCAGAAAAAGAACUACAGUUACAACAAAAAAAUGGAGAAAUUCAGUCUCUUCAAAAAGAAUUGGAACUCUCCAAGUCUGAGCUAAACCAUGUCCAGGGGCAGCUAGCGUCAGAGAGGAAAAAAGCUGAAAAACAAAUCUGGAGCCUGAAAGAAGCGAUGAAAAAGCAGAGGACACAGCUUGAAAGAGAACUGCAUGAACAAAAGCAUGAAAAUAACUGCCUGCAGAGUGAUAUAGCAGCUGCUGAACAAGUAGCGCAGAAUAACCAUGAACGAACCAAGCACCUCAUUAAAGAGCUUGGCCAGAUCCAGCAGGACUACGUGGAUCUCCAAAACCAGGUUAAGGCUCAAGAAGACCUGGAAAGGAGACAAAGGGAGAUAAAGAACACAGAAACAUUGCUUAAAGUAGAGGUUGAAGAUGAGAUUAAGACAAGGUUUAAAUCUUCAAGCCCAUCUUCUCCAGAACUGGUGGAAGACUUGGAAGCAUUUUCCGCAGUAAAUAGAAGUCUGCAGUGUGAAACUGAUAAUUUAGAGGAGAUGUUUUCAUUUGCUGACGCUGACAGAAGGCUGUUCUCACUGGAAAAAAAGCUGGAUUUUUCUCAAGUCUUUGUAAUGGAUGAACAGUGGCGUGGAGAAGCUCUCCGAGAGAAACUGCAGCAUCACGAAGAUCGGCUGAAGGCUCAGCUCCGGCGCUGCAUGUCCAAGCAGGUCGACGUGUUAAUCAGAGGAAAACAACAAACUCAAGGCACCCUUCACAGCCUGCAGCGGCAGCUGGACGCGCUGGAUGACCUCGUCAGCAGCACUUCCUCAGAUUCACAGUUCCUAGCUGAAAGUUCAUCAAGUCUGGUAUCUCUUCGUGAUGCUCUGAAUUUAACAAAAACACAGGCUGCUCUGCCAGAACACGCACACUUCCCCAGCAGGCCGCCAGGCGUGUCAGCGCUGUCGCAGCCGUGGCGUUCCUGCUCCUGAGAAAUUUCUCAGUAAAGCACCAAAGCCAACAGCUGAUCUGCACGUGCACUUGUGCUCCUUGAGACUGUGCCAUCAUCUUCCACUUCUGAAGCCUUCUACCUCACUGUUCUGCAAGCCUUUGCUAUAAAGCUUUCCUCAGGACCCAAAGCCCUGACUGCAGGAAAGCAGAAGUGCCUACACAGCAACACUUGCAAGCCAGUGCAAUGUGGUAGGUGGAAAAGAGCCCAGGAAGGCAGGAAUGAAGAACUGCAGUGUUAACGUACAAGCACCCUCAGCCACAGGGCAAGUAGAGAGAGCCAGAGCAAGAAACACAAGUCACUGACUUAGUACCAGAGGCAUCCAGCAGAACUCCGGUCCUGUCUGCUCUGAAGCCCCAUC